CGCGAGGCUAGAGUCACGGCUGGACAGAUCCUCGUUGUCCUGCUGUGCUAGAGUGCUCGCAGAGAAAACGUCUUUGCUUAUUCAUUGGCUGUAGUCUCUCCCGUGGCCCAGCCAAUCACCAACUCAGACACAUUC